UACGAAGGGGGCGAGCGUUGUUCGGAAUUACUGGGCGUAAAGGGCGCGCAGGCGGCUCUGAAAGUCAGAUGUGAAAGCCCCGGGCUUAACCUGGGAACUGCAUUUGAUACUCUAGAGCUUGAGUACGGGAGAGGAGAGUGGAAUUCCCAGUGUAGAGGUGAAAUUCGUAGAUAUUGGGAAGAACACCGGUGGCGAAGGCGGCUCUCUGGGACGGUACUGACGCUGAGACGCGAAAGCCAGGGGAGCGAACGGG
rnacentral:rRNA from 1 species